GACGAACGCUGGCGGCGUGUCUAAUACAUGCAAGUCGAGCGAGCUUGCCUAGAUGAUUUUAGUGCUUGCACUAAAUGAAACUAGAUACAAGCGAGCGGCGGACGGGUGAGUAACACGUGGGUAACCUGCCCAAGAGACUGGGAUAACACCUGGAAACAGAUGCUAAUACCGGAUAACAACACUAGACGCAUGUCUAGAGUUUGAAAGAUGGUUCUGCUAUCACUCUUGGAUGGACCUGCGGUGCAUUAGCUAGUUGGUAGGUAACGGCUUACCAAGGCAAUGAUGCAUAGCCGAGUUGAGAGACUGAUCGGCCACAUUGGGACUGAGACACGGCCCAAACUCCUACGGGAGGCAGCAGUAGGGAAUCCUCCACAAUGGACGAAAGUCUGAUGGAGCAACGCCGCGUGAGUGAAGAAGGGUUUCGGCUCGUAAAGCUCUGUUGGUAGUGAAGAAAGAUAGAGGUAGUAACUGGCCUUUAUUUGACGGUAAUUACUUAGAAAGUCACGGCUAACUACGUGCCAGCAGCCGCGGUAAUACGUAGGUGGCAAGCGUUGUCCGGAUUUAUUGGGCGCAAAGCGAGUGCAGGCGGUUCAAUAAGUCUGAUGUGAAAGCCUUCGGCUCAACCGGAGAAUUGCAUCAGAAACUGUUGAACUUGAGUGCAGAAGAGGAGAGUGGAACUCCAUGUGUAGCGGUGGAAUGCGUAGAUAUAUGGAAGAACACCAGUGGCGAAGGCGGCUCUCUGGUCUGCAACUGACGCUGAGGCUCGAAAGCAUGGGUAGCGAACAGG
rnacentral:rRNA from 1 species